ensembl:lncRNA
CUGGUGACCGCCUUUUGUUAUGACAACACAAGGUACAACAAAAGUUUCUGGGCGUCGCCUGUCGCUUCGCGGCGGCCAAUCGGAUGUCGGACAUAAACUUUGUAAACAACACAGUUGCACGUUGUCACAAAAACACCCGAGUUGCGAAGUGCAGCGGUCGUCCGAGCGGCUGAGGGAGUCCCGGAGCCUGCUGGAGGCCCUCCCUCCCUCCCUCCCUCGGCGGUACACUGGGUGCCGUGCAGACUCCUGGACAGAUUAAGGUGAAAAGUGGAGGACAGGAAGAGGCAAACCAGAGCCAGACUGUCAGGCGACCCAUAUGGGUUCAUCACAACGACUCGGUAUCGUUACUUUGCCCCUCCCCCACAAGGAACCACCUCCCCUUUGCUCCGUUAUAAGGCACAGAGGAACCUCGCCACCUUUCUUAUUUCCUCCCUGGGUUUCCGUUGAUCUUAUUUCUGAGCCUGGCCAGGGUUUGCCCCUCUGGGUCUGCUUCCAGGGAGCUCUUUGAGCCCCUGUUUAAAGAAAGAAAAACUCCCCGUUGUGAAAGAUACUCAAUCAAGUGUUUGACAUUGGGCCGCCUCACUCUGAAAAGUUUGUUGGUUUAAGUCACGGUACUGCCAGGUUAGCAUGUGACAGCUAUGCCCCUACCUCCCCCAAGUGUGGCUGUCCUUCAGUGUUCAACAUGCUCUGUUGACUUAACUCUAUCUUUUUCUGGCACCUCUGGGUUUCAUAGAAGCUUAUAGGUCAAUAUAAGGGACCCAAAUAGAGAUAUGUGUGUGUAUGUGUGUGUUGUGUGCAGUUUCUGUGUGUGAAUAUGUAUUGCGGUCCCCUGUAGCAUUUUUAACUGGCGUGUGUGUAUUUGUAUAAUUUUUAUGUCACUUCCAUUUUUUCUGUACCCUUUGUUGCACUCACCAUAUAUAUGUUUUAUUGUGUGUGUCUGUGUGUGUGUGUGUGUGUGUGUGUGUGUGUGUGUGAGAGAGAGAGAAACAGAGAUGGUGUUAGGAAAGCAGUGUGUGCCGAGUGUGCCAAUUCGCCAGUUUGUGGUCUUGUUCUGAACGUUGUUAAUUAGUGCAGAAUGUGGACUACAGUUGGGUUGCCAACUCUGAUGAAAGGAGAAAGUGAGAGAGGGAGAGUGUGUAUGUGUGUGUGUGUGUGUGUGUGUAGAGGGGGAUGGUGGGGGGUAGUUGAGGGUGACUCAAACCUUGCCAGGCAUGAGGAAUUUGUGAUAGGAUGAGUGCGAUGCCGGGCACUAGCGGCAGACAGGAUCGUGGACCCACAGGGCAGGCACACAGUACAGACUCUCCCAUUAAGAGCGGGUGGGACGCGACCCCAAGCCCACCAACUUCACAGUGACCACAUGCUGCCUUGAGCCUUAGGGAUGGCAGACUCACAGUCUUCGGCUUCUAUUUAUUUAUCGCAUGUGUUUUUACAUUCAAGAAUUCAAGGUCUUAGAUCCUUAACUCUUCCCAACCCAAAGCAGUGCAGAUUGUUAUGAAAACUGUCAGUUUUGCGCUGCUCUGUUUCUCCAUUUUUGUUUACGUUCCACUCAGAGCUGUCGCUUUGCCUUCGAAAGACCCCGUUUUGAAUCUCUGCUCCAGCAAUAGUACUCUUGAACGAGAUAGUUACCAUUAACAGAUACAUUAAGAAUACCCUACUGUAUCAGUGGGUAAAUCAGUGUUAAAUUUAUUAUGUAACAUGAGUUGCUGUGGGUGACCGCAAGGACAGUGUGGGCUCACAGACCGAUGUACCAUCAGUCUACUGUGGCAAACAAGUGAUAAAGGUGCACCUUUGAAGGAGUGUGAUUGUAUUUAUUUUUUUGGAAAUAAAAUAUCUUGGGGUGGGGGCCCCA